rnacentral:lncRNA from 1 species
UUUUAACUGUAAUCAAUUAAGCUAGGUGUUACAGGGACAGCCAUAUGUUUGUUUGUUUGUUUUAUCUGUCUUAGAGAAAGUGCAAUGGGGGAUAGACUUAGUAUGGAUUAAAAGGGAUACAUUUAUGUGGCUUUCAGUCACUUCCUAGUUAUUACAAGUUAUCCUGGCAUAAGUAUGUGCAUUAGUCCAUUCUCACACUCCCAUGCAGAGCUACCUGAGACUGGGUAAUGUAUAAGGGGCAUCUUAGACCUCUCCUAAACCAGUCAGUCAUUAAGACUUUUCAUGUCAUAUAAGAGAACACUAAAAACUGAAGACAAUUUCCUCCAUCCUCUUUUUAUCAUUUAAAAUAUUGUUGUCACUGCAUUCGGUAUGCUAAAAUAUGAUUUUUUUUUUCUCUUUGUAUCAGUUAGGAUAAAUUACUUAUGCUGUAGCAAAGAGCCCCCACAUGUUGGAGGCUUUCACAUUCGAGGUUUAUUUUUCACUCAUGUCACAAGCUACUGCUGCUCCAUGCACUCAGGGUCCCUUAUUCCUUCCAUCUAGUGUUCUCCAAUGGCUUCUCUGGAUCUGGAUUAGAGAAAACUGAUGGCUGAUGGUGAUCAUAGAAACAAGGCAUGACAGUGACAUGCUUCAUUUAUGCCCACAAUUGAUUAUAUCAAAUGGCUUAUAAGCUUCUGGAAUCAACUGUGUGAUCUUCAAAACUGGCAACUUGAGAACAGAGCAGGAAGUAAGUGGUUCAGCUUUGGAUACCCUGGACACACAGAAAUGCCCCAGGGCACACUGGUGGAUCUUCCGGUAUUGUUUGAAGCAGGUUCUAAAGGACCUCCUUGUUAUUGGGACUGGUUAAGAAAACUCUCAUACGAAUUUGCUGCAGAAACAGACAUUUCAGGGCUUCAAGCAGGAAGAGUUAUGGUGCUAUACAAUGAGGAUCUCGGUUCCAAAGGAACCCCAAUCAGGAAGUGA